AUACCUUUCUCGGCCUUUUGGCUAAGAUCAAGUGUAGUAUCUGUUCUUAUCAGUUUAAUAUAUGAUGUGACCCAACGGGUCACACAAUAUUAAAUUACUUUUUUAAGGGAGAGUCUGCUAAAGUAGCUUGCUACUUGAGCUCUCGAGUGUCGCCCAUGUUUUGCACUAUUGCAUGGGCUGACGCAUCCCAC